rnacentral:rRNA from 1 species
GACGAACGCUGGCGGCGUGCCUAAUACAUGCAAGUAGGACGCAGUUGCGAACGGGUGAGUAACGCGUAGGUAACUACCUAUUAGAGGGGGAUAACUAUUGGAAACGAUAGCUAAUACCGCAUACUAGUAGAUGGACCUGCGUUGUAUUAGCUAGUAGGUAGGGUAAAGGGCUACCAAGGCAACGAUACAUAGCCGACCCGGGAGGGGGAUCAGCCACACUGCGAGUGAGACAAGGCCCAGACUCCUACGGGAGGCAGCCGGAGGGAAUCUUCGGCAAUUGGGGGAAACCUGGCCGAGCCACGCCGCGUGAGUGAAGAAGGUUUUCGGAUCGUAAAGCUAUGUUGUUAAGGAAGCGGUACUUAACCAGAAAGGGACGGCUAACUACGUGCCAGCCGCCGCGGUAAUUC